GAGCUUUCUCUUUCCAAAAGCACUGAGAAAAGGCCAUGUGAGGACACAGUGAGAAGGGGGCCAUCUACAAGCCAGGAAGGGAGCCCACACCAGAACCUGAACUUUGCAGGCACCUUGCUCAUGAACUUCUAGCCUCCAGAGCUGUGAGGAAAUAGAUGUCUUGUGGGCUGCACCAUAUCAUGGUUCCCACUAGCAAUAUAUGAGAGUUCCAGUUGCUCCACAACCUCGCCAACAUAUGACAGGUGCUGCAAGAGGAUGGUUAUUUAACGCUGGCCCCCAAGGAGGAAGGCACAGACCUUCCUCCUCCUGGAACAUCCAAGGGCACUGGAUCCUCUGUGUCCCUCUGAGAUGGGGUGCCACUCCAGCAAGAGCACCACGGUGGCAGCUGAGUCCCAGAAGCUUGAAGAAGAGCGCGAGGGAAGAGAGCCAGGUCUGGAGACCGGCACCCAGGCAGCAGACUGCAAGGAUGCCCCGCUGAAGGAUGGAACCCCUGAGCCAAAGAGCUGAAAUGCCUCUCUCCAGAGUCGGACCCUCACCUCCUUCCUGGAACUGCCUUUGGCCCCAGAACCAUGAGACAAUCCCCACCCUGAGAAGCUCCGAUCACUGGGAGGAGAGAGAAAGCCUCCAGCUUUGGGAUUCAGGCUUCAGAAGUUUUUAGCAGCCUUUGCUCAUUGGAGAGGUGGGGAGGAUAAGUCUAUAAGGAAUCCUAUUUCCCCAGCUCUCCCACAGAGAGGACAAAAGAAGUCUUCACACGUUGUGGAACUUUCCUGCAACUUCUGGAUGCAGACAAGCCUCAGAGCAGACUGUUCUGGCUCCAGUGAAUAUCGGCUGCCAAGCUGUGAGCAUCCAGGGAUCCCCGUCUGCCUGGCUUUCCUGAAGUCAGAAGGCGCCUUGGUCAUACUGUGUGGGGUGUGUGGAUCUCAGUUUGCUCUCUUUCUUUCUCCUUUUUUCAACAGCUGGCGGAGUAGCCAACACCCCUGACAGCAAUGUGUUGCACUUGGCUCACUCCACACCCUAUGAAUAAUUUUAAUAUUUAACUUGAAAUGUUGUUAAGAAACUAUGGAAAAUAUCAGGAUCCCACUGGGAUCCCGUAAAUUGAAGGCAACAAGGUCUUGGUCCUCCAGUAAGGGGGGCAUGGAGCCCUGGUGGGAAGGAAAGAAGAGAAAUUUGUGUUCCUGAUUCCUUAAUCCCCAAGAAAGGUCCCUCUGCUAACAUUCACAUAUCUCUUCCUAGCCAAAGUCUGUCCAUUUCAACCCUCUAGCAUCUGAGCUAUCUGCAUCCAGCUUUCAAAAAUAUUUCGCUGUUUACUAACAUGUCUGUCAGCCUCUCUUUUCUCCCCCGCAUGUGUUUUGUUUUUAAAUCCACUCAAAAGCGUUUUCAUUUGAAAUCAAAUAGACAUGUUUGCAAAUAAAUGUUGACACAACACAUUUGAAAGACAGAAUUGGGGAUCUGAGAUUAAGAGUAUCAGCAGAGAAGAGUGGGUGUAAUUCUGUGGAACAGGAGUGAGAACAGAGGCGAGGGAGCCGUUGCUUUGUGCCAGGCGCCAUGCUGAGGACUUUCCAUAGACGGUUUAAUGCCACCCAACUACUCCCAUUUUAUAGAUGAGGAAAUGGAGGAAAUAAAGUCACUUGCCUGAGUUUGGGCAGCCAGGAAGGAGCAGAACCCACAGUUGAGCCCCAGCAGUUUGGCUUGGGAAACGCAUGUAGAGUGCUUCUUAAAGCAGAGAGCCUUUCUCAUGAUUAAACUGAAAUACUAGUCCCUUUAUAGCCUGUGCAUAGUGAGGACCAUUUUUCUUUAUUCACUGAGACCUACCUGCCUAUUGAGAAGUAUGUAACCGGUCAGCUUGGAGUUGCCCCACUGCAGGUUGGGUGAUGCAUUGAGGGACUUUUUAUUUUUACUCUGGUGGUGGGGGACGGGGAGGGAGGAAGAGACGGAGAGGGAAGUGGGAGAAGGGAGGGAGGGAAGGGAGGAAAGAUGAAGAAAGGGAGGAGGGAGAGGAGGGGGG
rnacentral:lncRNA from 1 species